GCAAGUCGAACGAUGAUGCCCAGCUUGCUGGGCGGAUUAGUGGCGAACGGGUGAGUAAUACGUGAGUAACCUGCCCUUGACUCUGGGAUAAGCCUGGGAAACUGGGUCUAAUACUGGAUACUACCUCUUACCGCAUGGUGGGUGGUGGAAAGGGUUUUACUGGUUUUGGAUGGGCUCACGGCCUAUCAGCUUGUUGGUGGGGUAAUGGCUCACCAAGGCGACGACGGGUAGCCGGCCUGAGAGGGUGACCGGCCACACUGGGACUGAGACACGGCCCAGACUCCUACGGGAGGCAGCAGUGGGGAAUAUUGCACAAUGGGCGGAAGCCUGAUGCAGCGACGCCGCGUGAGGGAUGACGGCCUUCGGGUUGUAAACCUCUUUCAGUAGGGAAGAAGCGAGAGUGACGGUACCUGCAGAAGAAGCGCCGGCUAACUACGUGCCAGCAGCCGCGGUAAUACGUAGGGCGCAAGCGUUGUCCGGAAUUAUUGGGCGUAAAGAGCUCGUAGGCGGUUUGUCGCGUCUGCUGUGAAAGCCCGGGGCUCAACCCCGGGUCUGCAGUGGGUACGGGCAGACUAGAGUGCAGUAGGGGAGACUGGAAUUCCUGGUGUAGCGGUGAAAUGCGCAGAUAUCAGGAGGAACACCGAUGGCGAAGGCAGGUCUCUGGGCUGUUACUGACGCUGAGGAGCGAAAGCAUGGGGAGCGAACAGGAUUAGAUACCCUGGUAGUCCAUGCCGUAAACGUUGGGCACUAGGUGUGGGGGACAUUCCACGUUUUCCGCGCCGUAGCUAACGCAUUAAGUGCCCCGCCUGGGGAGUACGGCCGCAAGGCUAAAACUCAAAGGAAUUGACGGGGGCCCGCACAAGCGGCGGAGCAUGCGGAUUAAUUCGAUGCAACGCGAAGAACCUUACCAAGGCUUGACAUUCACCGGACCGCCCCAGAGAUGGGGUUUCCCUUCGGGGCUGGUGGACAGGUGGUGCAUGGUUGUCGUCAGCUCGUGUCGUGAGAUGUUGGGUUAAGUCCCGCAACGAGCGCAACCCUCGUUCUAUGUUGCCAGCACGUGAUGGUGGGGACUCAUAGGAGACUGCCGGGGUCAACUCGGAGGAAGGUGGGGAUGACGUCAAAUCAUCAUGCCCCUUAUGUCUUGGGCUUCACGCAUGCUACAAUGGCCGGUACAAAGGGUUGCGAUACUGUGAGGUGGAGCUAAUCCCAAAAAGCCGGUCUCAGUUCGGAUUGAGGUCUGCAACUCGACCUCAUGAAGUCGGAGUCGCUAGUAAUCGCAGAUCAGCAACGCUGCGGUGAAUACGUUCCCGGGCCUUGUACACACCGCCCGUCAAGUCACGAAAGUUGGUAACACCCGAAGCCGGUGGCCUAACCCCUUGUGGGAGGGA
rnacentral:rRNA from 1 species